rnacentral:rRNA from 1 species
AGCUACAGGCUUAACACAUGCAAGUCGAGGGGCAUCAGGAAGAAAGCUUGCUUUCUUUGCUGGCGACCGGCGCACGGGUGAGUAACACGUAUCCAACCUGCCCUUUACUCGGGGAUAGCCUUUCGAAAGAAAGAUUAAUACCCGAUAGCAUAAUGAUUCCGCAUGGUUUCAUUAUUAAAGGAUUCCGGUAGAGGAUGGGGAUGCGUUCCAUUAGGUUGUUGGUGAGGUAACGGCUCACCAAGCCUUCGAUGGAUAGGGGUUCUGAGAGGAAGGUCCCCCACAUUGGAACUGAGACACGGUCCAAACUCCUACGGGAGGCAGCAGUGAGGAAUAUUGGUCAAUGGGCGCUAGCCUGAACCAGCCAAGUAGCGUGAAGGAUGAAGGCUCUAUGGGUCGUAAACUUCUUUUAUAUAAGAAUAAAGUGCAGUAUGUAUACUGUUUUGUAUGUAUUAUAUGAAUAAGGAUCGGCUAACUCCGUGCCAGCAGCCGCGGUAAUACGGAGGAUCCGAGCGUUAUCCGGAUUUAUUGGGUUUAAAGGGAGCGUAGGUGGACUGGUAAGUCAGUUGUGAAAGUUUGCGGCUCAACCGUAAAAUUGCAGUUGAUACUGUCAGUCUUGAGUACAGUAGAGGUGGGCGGAAUUCGUGGUGUAGCGGUGAAAUGCUUAGAUAUCACGAAGAACUCCGAUUGCGAAGGCAGCUCACUGGACUGCAACUGACACUGAUGCUCGAAAGUGUGGGUAUCAAACAGGAUUAGAUACCCUGGUAGUCCACACAGUAAACGAUGAAUACUCGCUGUUUGCGAUAUACAGUAAGCGGCCAAGCGAAAGCAUUAAGUAUUCCACCUGGGGAGUACGCCGGCAACGGUGAAACUCA